GGCAGCAGGCAAGUGGGAAUUAUAUUUAUGUAGCUUUUCUUAGAUUUUUCUUAUAAUCCAGCAUUAUAAAUUUACAUUUUUUUAAAUACAGAAACCUGUUCACCAUCUCAGUGCUGUUGUUGCAACUUCAUUUUUUUCUGGACAAUUCCAGAUACUCAGAAAGGUUUUUAGUGGAUUGUCAACAUUUCUGAAAAGGCCUUGGUGUUGAUUGAUCCAUUGGCAAAUGAAGGUUCCUAUGAACGUAAAUUGCUACGAAACUGGAGGAAUUACUUGAGAAUGACAGGCUAUGGAGACCAGGGAGCAAAAUGGACAGUACAGACAAUGCAACACAACAAGCAGCAUGAGUCCAGCAGCUGUGGCAUUUUAGUGUUGAUGUUCGCAGAAGAUUAUCUCGUGAGGGAAGACAUCAGUACUGUCCAGACGUCUGCACAAGCCAUUAACAAGAUUUGAAGUGGCUUGUGCACUGCUUCAGUGUAAAGGGAAUGCAGCAUGGUGUGCUCCUCACUCGAACAUCAUGCCAACAAGAGCAUGAUUG